CGCACACACUUCUUCUGCUUCCCUCCCCUUGUUUCCGCUCCACUUCCCUUCCAAGCAAGAAAACCGAGGCUUCAGCUUAGCUAGGACCGACCGAUCCGAUGUGCGGCGGUGCAAUCAUCUACGACUACAUCCCGGCGCGCCGCCGGUUGUGCGCCUCCGACUUCUGGCCCGACGCCGACGACUCCGACCCCCACACCCCCGCUCCCGAGAAACCGCCGCGCGCGAAGAGGGAGCGGAAGAACCAGUACCGCGGGAUCAGGCAGCGGCCGUGGGGGAAGUGGGCGGCGGAGAUCCGCGACCCGGUGAAGCGGAAGCGGGUCUG
rnacentral:misc_RNA from 1 species